CAGAGCUGCAAGAAGCACCAGGCUCGGCCACUUCAGAAGCCCCAGCCUCGACCUAGCCCACCCUCUCAAGGCCACAGUGCAGAAGCCUGCACCACCUGCCAAGUCUCUCCGGCUCCUUGCAGCUGCUGUCAGCAUGGCCCAGGCUCCUGCUGACCCGGACAGAGAAGGCCACCUUGAACAGAGGAUCCUGCAGGUGCUGACAGAGGCUGGCUCCCCGGUGAAACUUGCCCAGCUGGUGAAGGAAUGCCAAGCGCCCAAGAGGGAGCUCAACCAAGUCCUCUACCGAAUGAAAAAGGAGCUGAAAGUCUCCCUCACAGCCCCCGCCACCUGGCGCUUGGGCGGGACUGAUCCUGAAGGCGAGGGUCCUGCAGAGCUGGCCUUGUCCAGCCCUGGUAACUGCCACCCUGGGGAGGCGGGUCUGACCCUUGCAGGGAGCAUCCUGGCAAUGGACAAGCACAGAUUUGAGCCUGGGUUCGAAUCUGAGCUCUGCCACAUGGGAGCUCACAGGUUUCCUCUCUGUGCCUUGGUUUCUUUUUCUGGUUGAUGGAGCUCACAGCAGGGCUGCUUGGUAGGGGUUGCUGAGAGGAGGCCCUGUGUCAGGCUCAGCCCAGCCCUGCACACAGGAAGUACUCGGCAGAACACUAACAAAAAUAAUAGAAAAUCAUCAUGAUGGAGGCAGCAACGACGCAAUGGUCCUAAUCACAGAACACAUGCAGUCCCACCCGCCCCCCUUUUCUAGCUUUACAGCCCACAGCCAGAAAGAGCUGCCAUUUAUCAUGCACUUAAGAUUAGCCGGGCACUGUUUGGGGGUUCACCCAGCCCUCACACAACCCCAGGAGGCAAAGGAGGCUGAGCCCCGGAGAAGUUAAUCAGCAGGAAGCCGCAGCUGCCAGGGCGCAGGCAGGAUUUGAAGUCAAGUGUGUUUAACUCUGGAGUCUGAGUUUGCAACUACCGGCCUUGCCACUUAUCCCUAGGGAGCUGCCCACCUUUGUGGGGUGGAGGCCUGGUGCUAUCUUCUGUCCCCCACCCCUCUGACCCAUCUUUCUUUCUCCAGCCGAGAGGCCCCAGCAAUAUGCAGCUAGAAUUCCAGAGACCCCUGGCCCUCAGUUCAGCCAACAACGGGAGGAAGACAUCUACAGGUUUCUCAAAGACAAUGGUCCCCAGAGGGCCCUGGUCAUCGCCCAGGCACUGGGAAUGAGGACAGCAAAAGAUGUGAACCGAGACCUGUACAGGAUGAAGAGCAGGCACCUUCUGGAUGUGGAUGAGCAGUCCAAAGCAUGGACGAUUUACCGCCCAGAAGAUUCUGGAAGAAGAGCAAAGUCGGCCUUAAUUAUGUACCAGCACAAUCCAAUCAACAUGAUCUGCCAGAAUGGACCGAACAGCCAGAUUUCCAUUGCAAACUCUGAAGCCAUCCAGAUUGGACAUGGGAACAUCAUUACAAGUCAGAUAGUCUCCAGGGAGGACGGUGAGUCACCCAAGAGAGCCAGGGGAGGGGACCUCAGUGGGGGACCACCUGAUCCACUGGGUGGGGGCAAAGGGUAGGGAUGGGGAGCGAGGGGAUUCAGCCCUCCAAGGGGAAAGGGUUGCUUCCAGACCCCCACAGUCCACCUUUAUGGCCGUCCUGAGAAUGAGGACACCUGGAUCAAAGCUCUCCUGAUUUCCCUGUACUCUGAUACUUUCUACCUCAUUUUAAAAUUUAAUUUAAUUUUUAUUUUUCUAAUACAAUUUUAAAAUUAA
rnacentral:sRNA from 1 species